GCUGGGCGUGGUGGCGUAUGCCUGUAAUCCCAGCCACUGGGGAGGCUGAGGUGGGAGAAUCGCUUGAACCAGGGAGUCGGAGGUUGCAGUGAGCCAAGAUCAUGCCACUGCACUCCGGCCUGGCGACAGAGCGAGAUUCCAUCUCAA
rnacentral:sRNA from 1 species